GAGUUUGAUCCUGGCUCAGGAUGAACGCUGGCGGCGUGCUUAACACAUGCAAGUCGAACGAGCCUUCGGGCUAGUGGCGGACGGGUGAGUAACGCGUGGGAAUCUGCCCUCAGGAGGGGGAUAACGGCCGGAAACGGCCGCUAAUACCCCAUAUGCCGAGAGGUGAAAUGAAUUUCGCCUGAGGAUGAGCCCGCGUCUGAUUAGCUAGUUGGUGGGGUAAUGGCCCACCAAGGCGACGAUCAGUAGCUGGUCUGAGAGGAUGAUCAGCCACACUGGGACUGAGACACGGCCCAGACUCCUACGGGAGGCAGCAGUGGGGAAUUUUCCGCAAUGGGCGAAAGCCUGACGGAGCAACGCCGCGUGAGGGAUGAAGGCCUCUGGGCUGUAAACCUCUUUUCUCAAGGAAGAAGACAUGACGGUACUUGAGGAAUAAGCCACGGCUAAUUCCGUGCCAGCAGCCGCGGUAAUACGGGAGUGGCAAGCGUUAUCCGGAAUUAUUGGGCGUAAAGCGUCCGCACGCGGCCUUGUAAGUCUGUCGUUAAAGCGUGGAGCUUAA
rnacentral:rRNA from 1 species